rnacentral:rRNA from 1 species
GACGAACGCUGGCGGCGCGCCUAACACAUGCAAGUCGAACGAGAGAUGAGGAGCUUGCUCUUCAAAUCGAGUGGCGAACGGGUGAGUAACGCGUGAGGAACCUGCCUCAAAGAGGGGGACAACAGUUGGAAACGACUGCUAAUACCGCAUAAGCCCACAGCUCGGCAUCGAGCAGAGGGAAAAGGAGUGAUCCGCUUUGAGAUGGCCUCGCGUCCGAUUAGCUAGUUGGUGAGGUAACGGCCCACCAAGGCGACGAUCGGUAGCCGGACUGAGAGGUUGAACGGCCACAUUGGGACUGAGACACGGCCCAGACUCCUACGGGAGGCAGCAGUGGGGAAUAUUGCACAAUGGGGGAAACCCUGAUGCAGCGACGCCGCGUGGAGGAAGAAGGUCUUCGGAUUGUAAACUCCUGUUGUUGAGGAAGAUAAUGACGGUACUCAACAAGGAAGUGACGGCUAACUACGUGCCAGCAGCCGCGGUAAAACGUAGGUCACAAGCGUUGUCCGGAAUUACUGGGUGUAAAGGGAGCGCAGGCGGGAGAACAAGUUGGAAGUGAAAUCCAUGGGCUCAACCCAUGAACUGCUUUCAAAACUGUUUUUCUUGAGUAGUGCAGGGGUAGGCGGAAUUCCCGGUGUAGCGGUGGAAUGCGUAGAUAUCGGGAGGAACACCAGUGGCGAAGGCGGCCUACUGGGCAC